rnacentral:rRNA from 1 species
UUGCCAGACUCCUACGGGAGGCAGCAGUGAGGAAUAUUGGUCAAUGGGCGGAAGCCUGAACCAGCCAAGUCGCGUGAGGGAAGAAGGCCCUGCGGGUCGCAGACCUCUUUGGACGGGGAGCAAGGCCGCCGACGUGUCGGCGGAAGGAGAGUACCCGUAGAACAAGCAUCGGCUAACUCCGUGCCAGCAGCCGCGGUAAUACGGAGGAUGCGAGCGUUAUCCGGAUUUAUUGGGUUUAAAGGGUGCGUAGGCGGUUUUUUAAGUUAGUGGUUAAACGUCGGGGCUUCACCUUGAUCUGCCAUUAAUACUGUAAGACUCGAGUUCAGACGAGGUAGGCGGAAUAAGUUAAGUAGCGGUGAAAUGCUUAGAUAUAACUGAGAACUCCGAUAGCGAAGGCAGCUUACCAGACUGCGACUGACGCUGAAGCACGAGAGCGUGGGUAGCGAACAGGAUUAGAUACCCCAGUAUGA